rnacentral:lncRNA from 10 species
UACAAUAUAUACCCUCUGUGUGUGUGUGUGUGUGUGUGUGUGUGUGUGUAACCUGGCUUCCUUCAAAUAGCUAAAUUACAGUCAAGCGCCACAUAAUAGCAUUUUGGUCAAUGACAGACUACAUCUACAACAGUGGUCCCGUAAGAUUUUAUUACCAUAUUUUUACUGAACGUUUUCUAUGUUUAGGUACACAAAUACUUACUAUUGUGUUACAAUCGCCUACAUAAUUUAGCAUGGUAACAUGCUGUAUGGGUUUGUAGCCUAAAAGCAAUAGGCUAUACGAUACAGCCUAGGUGUGUAGCAGGCCAUACCAUCUAGUUUCUGUAAGUACACUCUAUGAUGCAUUUCUCAGAAUGUGUAUCUGGUGUUAAGUGACACAUAACUGUAUUUUGAGAUUCAUCCAUGUAUUACAGUUGCAUGUAUCAAUAGUUAUCAUUUUUAAUUUUUUUUAAACUUUCCAGUUUUGAAGGUAUGCCCUCCUGCUGUAUCUCAAUAAAUUACAAUUGUUCCACGGGAUAA